GACGAACGCUGGCGGCGUGCUUAACACAUGCAAGUCGAACGGUGAAGCGCCUUCCUUUUUGGUCGGUGUGGAUGAGCGGCGAACGGGUGAGCAACACGUUAGUAACCUGCCCCCUCCUGCUGGACAACCGCAUGAAAGUGCUGCUAAUACGGGAUAUUCUGGGUCUGUCGCAUGAUGGGUCUGGGAAAGAUAUUGUGUCGGUGGGGGAUGGGCUCGCGGCCUAUCAGCUUGUUGGUGGGGUGAUGGCCUACCAAGGCGGUGACGGGUAGCCGGCCUGAGAGGGUCGGCGGCCCUGCUGGGGCUGAGACGCGCACCCGCCUCCUACGGGAGGCAGCAGUGGGGAUUCUUGCACGAUGGGCGCAAGGCUGGUGCAGCGCCGCGGCGUGAGGGAUGGAGGCCUGCGGGUUGUGAACCUCUUUCGCCAGUGAAGCAGGCCUGCCUCGUUUGUGGGUGGGUUGACGGUAGCUGGAUAAGAAGCGCCGGCUAACUACGUG
rnacentral:rRNA from 1 species